UGAAGCUGCCAGCAUGAUCUAAACUUCCCUUUUUAGUUCAAAUAUGAUAUGAGGAAAGAUCAGAUCAUGUGGCAGCCUCACC